GGUCCUCCAGCUCCGCCCCCUUCGCCCGGAACGGGAGCCCGAUGAGCAUGCGUCGUUCAUGGCCUUGUCGCAGGGGAGAGAGCCUUAAACGUCCAACACCUCUGUGAAUUCUCCCAGUGCUAAAGCCCUCUCAAUCUCUGACACAGUAGGAACUGCAGAUGCUGGAGAAUCUGAGACGACAUACAAGGCGUAGAGCUGGAUGAACACAGCAGGCCAAGCAGCAUCAGAGGACCAGGAAGACUGACAUUUCAGGCCUAGACCCUCUCAAUCCCCACAAAUCUUCUCAAAACUCCCUCUCAAUCCCUGUAACCUCUCCAUCCCUCAAACUGUUCUGGUGUAGCCUCUGUACUGCUGCCAAUUGAGAUAGUGAUGGGAUCCAGUGAAUACAAAACUGAACACAGCCAGAAUUGGGUGGUAGGGAGGAAAGAAUCAGUGUAGAACUAAACCCAUUCAAAUUAAACACUGUUAGGAGAGCAAAGCUUGGCAAAGGAUAACAUUUGAAAAUCGGGUGACAGGUUUGGAUAUUAGUUCAGUGAGCAAGAAAGGUGAAUGGGAUGUGGAAAAAAAGGCUUUGGGGAAUAAGGAUGGAGUACUGCAUAGAAAGUAGAAAUAUUUGUUCUGAAUUUUUAUCUUGUACUUAUAGUAGUGGCUUUUGUAAACUUUUCCAGAGGAAUUAGAAGGGGAGAAUGAGCAGAUGGGAAACUCAAACCAAUCUUAUGUAACAAAUUACUUGUCAUCAGCACCUGAAUAUCAUAAGCCUUUGAAAGUAGAAGGAGAAAUGUUACUGGGUGGGAAAAGAUUUCAAGCAUCAGUGUGCCUGGAAAAGAACUGAAACACAUGACUGAGUGAUAGUGCUCCAGUGAACUGAUGGUGGAAAGGGCUUUCACCAGUUGCACAGACUGAAAAAUUUGCAACAUUCACCGUGGGAGACUGUACCCAAGUUUUGUGUGUGCUAGGCUUCAACUGAUUGUCGAAUCUGGAAUGACCAAGGAGAAACUGUGGAAAUGUGUGAAUGGAUUCAGUUAUCCCUCCCUGCUGGAGAAUUACGGAUGCACUCAUGCCAGGGAGAGGUCAUUCACCUGCUCAGUGUGUGGAAAGUGAUUCACUCAGUCCUGCAGCCUCUAGAAACACUCUUCAUACUGAUGUUGCCAGAGUUUCUCCAGUACUUGUUUACAUUUCAGAUCUCCAGCAAUGACAGUUCUUUGGUUUAUCUCAUUGACUCAAAUCGUUCAUACUUUGUUGGUGAGAUGAGCAGAUUCAAGAACUUGUUGGGAAGCCACUCACCCAUGAAAUUUAUUCAACUUUGAAUAGAGUUCCCAUCAGUUUUUUUUAAAGAGAAGGAUAUGUGAGCUCUUCAAGUUUGAGAGGAUUAAAAACAUCUGCUAGAGAGAAUCUGGAAGAGAGCAGUUACAUGCCAACACCACCCCCCUGCAAGUUCCCCUCUGAACCACACACCAUCCUGACUUGGAAAUAUAUUGCCGUUCCUUCGCUGUGGCUGUGUCAAAAUCCUGUAAUUACAUCCCUAACUGCAUCGCGGAUAUGCCUGCAACAAAUGGACGGUAGUAGUUCAAGAAGCUGGCUCACCUGCACCACCUCGUGGGCAAACUAUGGAUGGCCAAUAAAUACUGAUUUGAGAAGGACUUGAAAACUUCAAAGGUUGUAAAUUUGGAACUUGGACAAGACUGAGUUGAUCAAAGAGAAUCAGUUUGGCCACAUGAAGUGUUCACCACGUUGAGAUAACCCAGUUGAAUUAUUUGAAGCCGCUAAUAAGAUUGAGAUCGGAAUGUUGCUUAUACGAGAUGUAGAAAGUUUCCAGAUAGGCCAUAAGAGGUAAGGGCAAAAAUAGGCCAUUUGGUCCAUAGACUUGUCUCUGCCAUUCAAUGAGAUCUUGUCUGAUCUGGUAAUCCUCAACUCCACCCUCCUGCCUUUUCCCCAUAACCCUUCGUACACUUGCUGAUUAAAAAUCUGUCUAUCUCAGCCUUGAAUAUACUUAAUGAUAUAACCUUGAGAGCCCUCUGUGAUAAAGAAUUUCACAGAUUCACUACCCUCUGAGAAAAGACAUUCCUCCUCAUCCCUGUUCUAUGUGGGUGACCCCUUACUCAGAGAUGAUGCCCUUUGAUCCUAGAUGUUCCCACAAGGGGAAACAACCUCUCCACAUCAACCUUAUUAAGCUUGCUAUGAUUCUUGUACGCCUCAGUAAAGUCACCUCUCAUUCUUCUAAACUCCAAAGAGUGGAGGUACAAUCUACCCGACUUUUCCUCAUAAGAAGAUCCCUCCAUACCUGGUACCUGCCUAGUGAACCUUCACUGGCCUGCCUGCAAUACCAGGACAUCUUUCCUUUGAUAAGAGAUCUAAAACUGUUCGCAGUAUUCCAGUUUUGAUCUGACUAGUGCCUCGUAGUGUUUUAGCAAGCCCUCCCCACUUAUUUGCCUUCUCAUUUCCUGCUGGACAAGAAAUUGUCAUCAUUACUGACUAUGCCAUUUCAUGUUUUGAUCACUGAAAUUUCUGUAUUUCGCAAACAAAUCCAAAUAAUAUCUUGUGUCUUGACACGGAUGUUGGGUCACAGCAAUUGUCAGAUUUUUCCAAGAUUUUUUUAUCCAUUAGCCAUGGUCUGUCUUCUGCUACUUUAACAACCUCAUAACCAGGCUAACAGUAUCCCUACAAUUCUGUGAACUGUCAUUUUAACUAACAGUCUUUUAGGGGGAGCCUUGCAAUUGCCUUUUGGAAGUUCACAAACUGUAACCUCAUUUCCUUAAUCAUUGCUUUUGUUACUAUCUCAAAGGGGUUAAAGAAAAACCCGAUACAACUUUCCAAAUUCCAUGUUGACUCCUUUUCAAUCAUUUCCUCCAUCUAUUGAAAUACCAGUGCUUGCACUAAUAGACCAGCUUGUUCACAGACAGUUUUAGCUCUUCGCUUCUCUUCCUUCUUUCAUGGGAUUUGCAUGAUCAGGACAGCAUUUGUUGCUCAUUCCCAAUUUCCCUGGAGAGCAGUUAGGAGUCAACCUGAUUGCAGUGCAUCUGAAGUCAGGAAACAGUACCCAGGUACCUUGGUACCUAAGGUGGUGUUGUAAGUGGCAGCCUAUCAACUUUUCACUGUACUCAUUUGAGUACUUGUGACAAUAAACCUAAUUCAAUUCAAUUCAAUUCGAGUCACACAGGUCAGUCAGGCUGGGUAAGGAUGGCAGAUUUCCUUCUCUAAAUGGCAUUUUUUGAACCAGCUGGACCAUUAAAGCAAGUUCUGGGCUCACCAUUAUUAGGCUAUAGCUUUAUGCUUUACUUUAUUCAAUUGAAGUUCAACUCCACCUGAUUCUGUUGUGGGAUUUGAACUCCACAGCAUUUGGCUUGGGCUGUCUGAAUUGGUAGUCUUGUGAGAUUACCAAUAGGCGACAAUCUCCCCUCACCUCCCCUCCCCAAACAAUGCCAAAAAUAUAUAAAACAUACCGCAGUCCUUCAGUGGGGAAAGGCUGUUCACGUUAUCUGAAUGUUGGAACAAUUUCUAUUGAUGAUAACUCUACUCAAACACCAGAGAGUUCACACUGUUGAGAAGCCUUUUACCUGCUUCCUGCAUGGGUAAGGGAUUUAUUCAGCUUUCCCAGUUUCUGGGGCACUGGGUAGUUCACACUUCGGGGGGGGGAAGAGGCCAUUCAAAUGCAGUCAGUGAGGGCAAAGAUUCACUGAUUUAUUUGAGCUUCUGAUGCAUCAGUGAGUUGACAGUGUGGAAGAUACUGGGCCAUAAAUGAGAUGGGGUUCGCUCAGCCUGCUGAGACACCGAUCAAGGUCUCUGAUGCUAAUCUCAAUACAGAACCACCGUCAAUGUCGACAGCCGGGGUACUGUUUCUUUUUAGAAAUUCUGUCACGGCAGUGAGCUUUGGAUGAAGCAGUAUUUUAUUGCUUUUCCUAAUUUCGUAGGAGAGUUAAGAGUUAACCACAUUGCUGAGAGUUUGGAGUCAUGUGUAGGCCAGGUAGGGAUAGCAGAUUUCCUUUCCUAAAGGGCAUUCGUGAACCAGGUUGGUUUUUAAUGGCAGCAAACAGUGGUCACAUGGCCACUACUAGACAGUCUUUUCUAUUCCAUAUUUUUAUUGAAUUGGAAUUCCACCAUCUGCCAUGGUGGGAUUUGAAUCCAUGCCUCUGCACCUGUAGCCUGGAGUCCUGGAUUACUAGUACAAUGACAUCUCACGACACCACUGCACCCGAUAUCGUGCUUUUAAUGAGCUGUCAUAGUUUCAUUGAGUUGUAGAGUACAGAAAAAAAACCCUUUGCCAAUCUCAUCUUUAGCACAGAGAACUGUGAAGCACGGGAAUGGGCACUUUGGCCCAUGAUGUUGUGUUGAACAUGUCACCAGAUGGAACUAAUCCCUUUUGCCUACCCUUGGUCCAUAUCCCUCCAUUCCUUGCAUAUUUAUGUGCUUAUCUAAAAGUCCCUCAAUUGCCCUUAUCGUAUCUGCUUCCGCCACCCCGGCAGUUAAUUCUGACUCCUAUCACUCUCUCUGUUUUUAAAAAAAAGAGAUCUUGCCCCUUACGUCUACUUUGAACUUUGCCCCCACUCUCGUUAAAUGCAUGCCCUCAAGGGUUAGGCAUUUCAUGUCUGGGGGGAAAAAUGAUUGUGACUGUCAACUCUAUCUAUGAAUUGCAUAAUUUUGUAGACUUCUAUCAAGGCUCCCCUCAGCCUCUGCUACUCAAGAGACAACAACCCGAGUUUUUCUGACCUCUCCUUAAAGCUGAUAUGCUCUAAUACAGGCAGCAUCCGGGUAAACCUCUUCUGCACCCUCUCCAAAGCCUCUACAUCCUUCCUGUAAUGUGAUGACCAGAAUUGAAUGCAGUACUCUAAGUGUGGCCCAUCUAAAGUUGUAUAAAGCUGCAACAUUGACAUCUUCACCCGUACUCAAUUUUCUGACCAAGAAGCAUGUCGUAUACCUUCUUUGCCACCAUAUCUACUUACGUGGCUGCUUUCAGGGAGCUAUACAUUUCCUUAACAUUUGAUCUCCCAAAGUGCAGCACCUCACGUUUACCUAGAUUAAAAUCUAUCUGCUAUUUCUCUGCCCACGUUUGCAACUAAUCUAUAUCCUGCAGUUUCCUUUGACAACCUUCUACACGACUCACAACUCCAUCGAUCAUUAUAUUGUCCGCAAACUUACUAACCCACCCAUCAACAUUUUCAUUUGUCAUUUAUAUAUAUCACAAUCUGUACCACUGAAAUUACUCUAGGCCCAUUCUCCAGUACUAGCCCCAUAAUUCUGAAUGCUACAACAUUUCAAAUGCUCAGCCAGAUACCUUUUAAGGGUCCAAGAUAAUAA